CACCAAGCCUGUAGCAGGGACCCUCAAGGGACAGUCCUCCAGACCAUAACAAUGAAGGAUGAGGAGAGGGCUGAGCAUGUGCUGUGGCCAUCUUAUCCACUGACAAUCAAGAAAGCCAAGCAGAGGUUCCCUGGGGGAAGACGGAGUUAGAGAGAGAAAGGUGGAUUAAAAGAACACAAAGAAAUUUGGGUGAGU